rnacentral:rRNA from 1 species
GCUUAGCCCUAAACAUAGACAGUAUAAACACAAUACUGUUCGCCAGAGUACUACAAACGAAAAGCUUAAAACUCUAAGGACUUGGCGGUGCUUCAAACCAACCUAGAGGAGCCUGUCCUAUAAUCGAUACCCCACGUUCAACCUUACCUCUUCUAGCCAAACAGCCUAUAUACCGCCGUCGUCAGCCUACCUUAUGAGAGAAAUAAAGUAAGCAAAAAAGUUAAUAACUAACACGUCAGGUCAAGGUGUAGCACACGAAGAGGUAGAGAUGGGCUACAUUUUCUCACUGAGAAAACACAAAUGGUGAACUGAAACACACACCUGAAGGAGGAUUUAGCAGUAAAAUCAACCAAGAAUAAUGCUUUUAAACCUGCUCUGAAGCGCGCACAC